rnacentral:rRNA from 1 species
GCGCGAAAACUUUACAAUGCUGGCAACAGCGAUAAGGGAACCUCGAGUGCCAGGUUACAAAUCUGGCUGUCGAGAUGCCUAAAAAGCAUUUCAUAGCAAGGGCCGGGCAAGACCGGUGCCAGCCGCCGCGGUAACACCGGCGGCUCGAGUGGUAACCGUGAUUAUUGGGUCUAAAUGGUCUGUAGCCGGCCGGAUAAGUCUCUUGAGAAAUCUGGCAGCUUAACUGUCAGGCUUUCAGGGGAUACUGGCUGGCUCGAGGCCGGGAGAGGUGAGAGGUACUUCAGGGGUAGGGGUGAAAUCUUGUAAUCCUUGAAGGACCACCAGUGGCGAAGGCGUCUCACCAGAACGGACCUGACGGCAAGGGACGAAAGCUAGGGGCACGAACC